rnacentral:rRNA from 1 species
GACGAACGCUGGCGGCGUGCUUAACACAUGCAAGUCGAACGGAAAGGCCCUGCUUUUGUGGGGUGCUCGAGUGGCGAACGGGUGAGUAACACGUGAGUAACCUGCCCUUGACUUUGGGAUAACUUCGGGAAACUGGGGCUAAUACCGGAUAGGAGCUCCUGCUGCAUGGUGGGGGUUGGAAAGUUUCGGCGGUUGGGGAUGGACUCGCGGCUUAUCAGCUUGUUGGUGGGGUAGUGGCUUACCAAGGCUUUGACGGGUAGCCGGCCUGAGAGGGUGACCGGCCACGAGGCGAGGGUGGUACCACGCCUGCCCGGAGGGGGGGCAGGGUGGGGAGUUGUGCGACAGUGGGCGGCAGCGGGGGGCCGCAAGGGCGGGUGUGGGAGGAGGGCCGUCGGGUGGUCACCCGCUCGGCCGUGGGGCGAGGGGUGGGAGGGGGUGAGGGGUAACAGAGCGCCGGCCAAGCACGGGACAGAGCGGGCGGUGGUAGACGGAAGAGCCCCCGCUUGACC